CUGCCCUUCACUGGGGAAUAGCCUUCUGAAAAGGAGAUUAAUACCCCAUAAAAUAGCAAGGUGGCAUCACCUAACUAUUAAAGUUCCGGCGGUGAAGGAUGAGCGUGCGUCCUAUUAGGUAGUUGGUAGGGUAACGGCCUACCAAGCCGACGAUAGGUAGCUGGUGUGAGAGCACGACCAGCCACACGGGCACUGAGACACGGGCCCGACUCCUACGGGAGGCAGCAGUGAGGAAUAUUGGUCAAUGGGCGGAAGCCUGAACCAGCCAUGCCGCGUGGAGGAUGAAGGCCCUCUGGGUUGUAAACUUCUUUUAUCAGGGAAGAAAAGUACUAUUUCUAUGGUAUCCGACGGUACCUGAUGAAUAAGCACCGGCUAACUCCGUGCCAGCAGCCGCGGUAAU
rnacentral:rRNA from 1 species